GACGAACGCUGGCGGCGUGCUUAACACAUGCAAGUCGAACGGAAAGGCCCUGCUUUUGUGGGGUGCUCGAGUGGCGAACGGGUGAGUAACACGUGAGUAACCUGCCCUUGACUUUGGGAUAACUUCAGGAAACUGGGGCUAAUACCGGAUAGGAGCUCCUGCUGCAUGGUGGGGGUUGGAAAGUUUCGGCGGUUGGGGAUGGACUCGCGGCUUAUCAGCUUGUUGGUGGGGUAGUGGCUUACCAAGGCUUUGACGGGUAGCCGGCCUGAGAGGGUGACCGGCCACAUUGGGACUGAGCUACGGCCCAGACUCCUACGGGAGGCAGCGGUGGGGAAUAUUGCACAAUGGGCGGAAGCCUGAUGCGGCAACGCCGCGUGCGGGAUGACGGCCUUCGGUUUGUAAACCGCUUUCGCCUGUGACGAAGCGUGAGUGACGGUAAUGGGUAAAGAAGCACCGGCUAACUACGUG
rnacentral:rRNA from 1 species